GGAAGAGGCGGUUGCCACCCAGAGGGUAGACGAGGCCAGACGGGGAAAGGGCUCAGAGAGGUAAAGGGCUCGGAGUCGCUGGGGGGAGGGGUUCCCACUGGAGGUAACUGAGAGGUGCAGGGGGGCUCGGAGAAUACCGGCUGCGGGGAACGAAGCCGAAGGUUCUGAAUGGUCAAGCGAAAAGGCCAGGUGCAGGGAGGCGAAAGGAGGCCAGAGGUGAGGCCCGGGGCGCGGAGCUGCCCAGGGCGCGGCGCAGGCGGAGGACGAACUGCUGAGGGAGGGACCUGCCAACCGCAGCCAGGAGGUGGCCGGGGCAACGGCAGAUCCCCGGAAAAGCAGCUCCUGAGCCAACACAACUUUCAGUGCAAACAGCAGGAGAAACCCUGCGAGCCCCCCCUUCUCGGGGCCGGAGCCCGGGUGCACGCUCGUCCCAAACCCGCCGCGCUGCCCACCUUCCGGAGAGGAACCCCGCGCACGGCAGAGCCGGACGCCAGGGGCUGGACGCCCAACCACCUAGUCACUCCCCAGGACGCAGUUAUCGCGCGCAAAGCAGCUGGGGGACCCCGCAAGGAAACUCAGGCACAAUGGAGCCCGCUUCUUUUUCUGUCAACUCUGAAUGCUAUGUCUGGUUUGGUCCUGGCUGCUAGUUCGAAGCUGGAACAUCCUCCAGAGCUGGGGCCCAUUUCCUUUUAUUUGCCUUGGGCCCCAAAUGAAAAGCAUCUAUCCGCAUGCCUAAUAAAAAUUUUCUUAAAUCGGGCCACGCAGGCUUUUUCCCAGGUUCUGCGCCCUGACCCCAUUCCCUCUGCUCAUGCUUUUGGCAUUGUAUUGGAGUGUGUUGACUUGACCAAGCUCCCAAACAACCUCCGUGCUCCACCUCAGCUUGGUCUGCCCAGAGGCUCGUGCCCCAACCAUCACCCCCAGCCACCAGAUCGGUGGCAGUAUGUUGUUGGGUCUUGUUGACAUUUUAGAGAGAAAAGGGCUAGAGGUGAAGUUUUCUCGGGUUUUAUAUCUCAAAGCGAUUUGUUCUUGGGAACAGAAUUCUGUCUGAAGUAUUAAUAAUUCGGCUGUAGGUGUCCAGCCGCGUUCAUAUUCAUGAUGUGAAACGGGCAACCAUGGACCUAUCCCUGCAGAACCCACUCCGGGUACAAAUCCGGUAACCUUUCAGGACGCGUGUCAAGGGAAGCUGGAGGCCUGGCUUUCCCAGUGGGGGUUCAGGCUCCCGGGAGGGGGGAGAGGAGCCCGAGGCCCGCGCCGUCUCGUUUCCUGGUAGGAGAAGGUGCAGGCGGAGGCGGGGCCUCCCGUGAUACAGGUGGCAGCUCGCGUCCCCUGAGAGCGGGCGAAGGCCAGGGUCCCACACUCGCAGCGCUGCGACGGCACUCGGGACCUCCCUCGUCCGCUGCUUGAGCUCCAGAGCGCCAGAGACCCAAGUUGAGGAACAGCAUAUAAAAUAACUGGCCUGUACUCUUACAUACAUGAAAGCCAUCAAA